rnacentral:rRNA from 1 species
UGGUUCGAUUGCUCCUUGGAGUCGGGUUGCUUGAAAGUGCAGCCUAAAGUGGGUGAUAAACUUCAUCUAAGGCUAAAUAUUGACUCGAUUGCGAUAGCGAACAAGUACCGUGAGGGAAAGUUGCAAAGGACUUUGAAGAGAGAGUUCAAGAGAACGUGAAAUCGCUGGAGUGGAACCGGAGACAGUUGAUGUUGCUUGGAGACAAGUUUGGUGGCUGGUCGCUUAGUUGUGAUCGUCGCCGGAUGUCGUUUCCUAUGCUACGCCGACGGCGUUGGUCGCUCGUUCUGGCCCGACAGUGUUGCCCAGCUCGCAAGAGUCGGUGUCUUGUUGUCGGUCGUUGGUUCGUGGUGGCUAGCGUUUAGUUACGCUAGUGUGUGUGACGUCGGUGUGAAAGUCGACGACGUUUCCGACCCGUCUUGAAACACGGAUUGCGGAGUGCUUGUCUACUGCGAGUCAAAGGGUGUUAAAACCUUGCGGCGAAAUGAAAGUGAAGGUCAGUCUUGAAUUGGCCGACGUGGGAUCGGUGCUCCUCGGAGUGCUGCGCACCACGGCCCUGUGCGUGUCACUUGUGACUGUGCAGAGGUUGAGCAGUUGGCAAACGACCCGAAAGAUGGUGAACUAUGCCUGAGCAGGAUGAAGCCAGAGGAAACUCUGGUGGAAGUCCGUAUCGGUUCUGACGUGCAAAUCGAUCGAUAGACUUGGGUAUAGGGGCGAAAGACUAAUCGAACCAUCUAGUAGCUGGUUCCUUCCGAAGUUUCCCUCAGGAUAGCUGGAUCUCCGGCAGUUAUAUUCGGUAAAGCUAAUGAUUAGAGGCCUUGGGGACGUAAUGUCCUCAACCUAUUCUCAAACUUUCAAUGGAUAUGAAGUUGCAGUUUCUUUAGUGAACUGUCAACGUGAAUGCGAGGUCCAAGUGGGCCAUUUUUGGUAAGCAGAACUGGCGCUGUGGGAUGAACCAAACGUGGAGUUAAGGUGCCUAACUUCUCGCUCAUGAGACCCCAUAAAAGGUGUUGGUUGAUAUUGACAGCAGGACGGUGGCCAUGGAAGUCGGUAUCCGCUAAGGAGUGUGUAACAACUCACCUGCCGAAUCAACUAGCCCUGAAAAUGGAUGGCGCUUAAGCGAGAGACCUAUACUCCGCCGUUGCGGCAUGUGCGUUGUCUAGCGCCAGGCCGUAACGAGUAGGAAGGUCGUGGCGGUUGCUUUGAAGGCUAUGAGCGUGGGCUCGGCUGGAGCUUCCGUCAGUGCAGAUCGUAAUGGUAGUAGCAAAUAUUCAAGUUCGAUCCUUGAAGACUGAAGUGGAGAAGGGUUCCACGUGAACAGUAGUUGGAUGUGGGUCAGUCGAUCCUAAGGUACUGGCGAACGCCUUGUAUCAUCGGUGGCGAAAAGCUUGCUUUUGGUCCCCGUUUGUCGAAAGGGAAUAGGGUUAAUAUUCCCUAACUGAGAUGCAAAGAUUGUGUUCUUCGGAGCACAAGCGCGGUAACGCAUUCGAACUUGGUUAGUCGCUCAAAGACCGAGCUAGAGUUUUCUUCUCUAGUUAAGGAACGGACUCCCUGGAAUUGGUUCAGCCAGAGAUGGGGACGUUGUUUCCGAAAAGCACCGCGGUUUCUGUGGUGUCUCGUGCUCUUUGAACGGCCCUUAAAACACCAAGGGAGGCUAUUAAUUUGCACUCAAUCGUACCGAUAUCCGCAUUAGGUCUCCAAGGUGAACAGCCUCUAGUCGAUAGAAUAAUGUAGGUAAGGGAAGUCGGCAAACUAGAUCCGUAACUUCGGGAAAAGGAUUGGCUCCAGUGGUUGGAACGAUUGGCCAGUUGGUUGAUGCUUGUCCGGCGCUAUUCUGUCUGCUUGAUGCUUUCGGGCUGAUGGCGGACUAGUGAUAGUGCUUGCUUGUGGACGCUUUCUGGUGUGUGCUAGGACCUCGGUUCUAGUAUCCUGAUCGCUCAUCUAAACAACCGUACUGGAACCGGUACGGACUCAGGGAAUCCGACUGUCUAAUUAAAACAGAGGUGACAGAUGGUCCUUGCGGACGCUGACUGUCACUGAUUUCUGCCCAGUGCUCUGAAUGUUAAAUCGUAGUAAUUCGAGUAAGCGCGGGUAAACGGCGGGAGUAACUAUGACUCUCUUAAGGUAGCCAAAUGCCUCGUCAUUUAAUUGUUGACGCGCAUGAAUGGAUUAACGAGAUUCCUACUGUCCCUAACUACUAUCUAGCGAAACCACAGCCAAGGGAACGGGCUUGGCAAAAAUAGCGGGGAAAGAAGACCCUGUUGAGCUUGACUCUAGUUUGACAUUGUGAAGAGUCAUGAGAGG